GUUUACCGGAGCAGGAGAAAAACUGCUGACUUGGUCCGACACCGGUGUGACGCCUACCUACACCAACAGGGACUCGCGUCAAGACGGAAGCUCCAACGUUGAGUCCUGCGCCUACGUCAACCAAGGUGUGCACUUCUCCAGUCAGCCUGGCAAGUGGAGACAUGGAUCGUGCGGAUCCUGCUUGCCGUACAUGUGCGAGAGGUCGCCCGAUGACUGCCCGGUGGGUCGGCUGUGUUCCUACAAAGACUACGUAUUGGGCUACCAUCGAGUG